rnacentral:rRNA from 1 species
GCGUGCUAAUACAUGCAAGUUGAACGAUGAUUUCUGGUACUUGUAUCAGAAUGAAGAGUAGCGAACGGGUGAGUAACGCGUGGGUAACCUACCUCUUAGCGGGGGACAACUAUUGGAAACGAUAGCUAAUACCGCAUAACAAUAUUAAACACAUGUUUAACAUUGAAAGUACCAAUUGGUACACUAGGAGAUGGACCCGCGUUGUAUUAGCUAGUUGGUAGUGUAAUGGACUACCAAGGCGAUGAUACAUAGCCGACCUGAGAGGGUGAUCGGCCACAUUGGGACUGAGACACGGCCCAAACUCCUACGGGAGGCAGCAGUAGGGAAUCUUCGGCAAUGGACGAAAGUCUGACCGAGCAGCGCCGCGUGAGUGAAGAAGAUUUUCGGAUCGUAAAACUCUGUUGUUAGAGAAGAACGUUGUGUAGAGUGGAAAAUUACACAAGUGACGGUAUCUAACCAGAAAGGGACGGCUAACUACGUGCCAGCAGCCGCGGUAAUACGUAGGUCCCGAGCGUUGUCCGGAUUUAUUGGGCGUAAAGCGAGCGCAGGUGGUUUAAUAAGUCUGAUGUAAAAGGCAGUGGCUCAACCAUUGUGUGCAUUGGAAACUGUUAGACUUGAGUGCAGUAGAGGAGAGUGGAAUUCCAUGUGUAGCGGUGAAAUGCGUAGAUAUAUGGAGGAACACCGGUGGCGAAAGCGGCUCUCUGGACUGUAACUGACACUGAGGCUCGAAAGCGUGGGUAGCAAACAGGAUUAGAUACCCUGGUAGUCCACGCCGUAAACGAUGAGUGCUAGUUGUUUGGGGCUAUCCAGCCCUAAGUGACGCAGCAAACGCAUUAAGCACUCCGCCUGGGGAGUACGACCGCAAGGUUGAAACUCAAAGGAAUGACGG